rnacentral:tRNA from 1 species
GGUGGCUCAGUGGUAGAGUGCUUGCCUUGCAUGCAUGAGGCCCUGGGUUUCGAUUACUCAGUACCA